ACACGAAACCCACGUUUCAAACCAAUCUGUGCUCUGUAACCUUCUAGUGAUAGAGGACCUCAUUCUUCGGAGUGAACCUCUAUUGCUUUUUUAAACUUUUUAACCCCUUGUAUCAUUUAUUGACUGAACCUUCAAAGCUUGAGUGACGUCUUCGGACUGAACUCGCUUUCGAUAUUACGAAACUCAGAA
rnacentral:misc_RNA from 1 species